UUUGCGUGCUCUUCGCCUUGCAAUUAAGCUCUCCAACCUCCUGUUUCUCUCAAUCUCAGAAAUUCCGACAUCCAUCAGAUUCUUCUGAUCAUCCUCAUUCCACUGCACAGCCUUGUUAUUUUCCUCUUUAUCACGCUCAUCAUCUUCCCCUUCUGUGCCUUCUGAACUCUCUGUCUCUAUCUCGCCUCUCUCGCGAUCAAGCCUCUGAGACCCUUCAUGGGAUUGAAUGCGAAAUUCAGGUCUUAAAUCUCGCUGACGAUUUUAGGAUUGCAUCUUUAUCUACUCUUGGAAAUUGUUCUUCCUCUUCGGACGACGAUGCAGUGCUGGACUUGCCACUUAAAUCGUCAGACGGCAUCCAGAUUGUCUUUUCUUCAGAAUUUUCUUCUUCCUGAUGACCAUCUACUAAUUCUUCUCCCUGUUCGGGGCUCUGGAUGUGUUCUUGGGCGUAACUAUGAUCUCUAACCAUGUUUGAGUUAGACUUUGGUGGUUGAGAUGUCUCAACUUCAAUUAUCUUCUCAGUGUCUUUUUGAUCUGCAUCCAAACGGUUAAAUAUUGAUUGAGUCAUAUGAUUAGAAACCAAUGUUAUAUUGCAUCGUCUUUCUUGUGUGUGUGUGUGUGUAGAUUUUUGUUCGUGUGUGUGUGAUUGGUUAGGGUAGCAUUUCACCUAAUUGGCUUUCUAACUCGGAGUUCUCAUGUUGUCCAGAACCCCUCUCCCUCUCCUUGAAUGCAGAGUCAUAAAAUUGAGAUGCGUCUUUUCGAUCUUGCUUUGAUCCUCCUGGGAAGGAAGACUCUAAGCUAGAGCUCUCAUGUCUGCUGAACAGAUCCUUCUGGUGCAGUGGCAGGAACUCUUGAUCAAAACUACCACCUGUAAGAAUUGGUUUCUCUUCCUGUGGAUCAUAAGGAAUGUCAAAAGGGUUGUGCAUUGGUACCAAGAUAGAAGGAGCUGAGCCGGGCAUGGGAGAAAACCGGCCUGAUGGAGGGUUGAGGAUAGAAGGAUUAUGUCUUGGUACCAUUAAAGGGGUAAUAUGACCAAAAGGCGCACUGUUGUCCAUGUUCAUCAGUGUCUUUCUUACCUGAAGGCUCAACAAUUUGCGUGCUCUUCGCCUUGCAAUUAAGCUCUCCAACCUCCUGUUUCUCUCAAUCUCAGAAAUUCCGACAUCCAUCAGAUUCUUCUGAUCAUCCUCAUUCCACUGCACAGCCUUGUUAUUUUCCUCUUUAUCACGCUCAUCAUCUUCCCCUUCUGUGCCUUCUGAACUCUCUGUCUCUAUCUCGCCUCUCUCGCGAUCAAGCCUCUGAGACCCUUCAUGGGAUUGAAUGCGAAAUUCAGGUCUUAAAUCUCGCUGACGAUUUUAGGAUUGCAUCUUUAUCUACUCUUGGAAAUUGUUCUUCCUCUUCGGACGACGAUGCAGUGCUGGACUUGCCACUUAAAUCGUCAGACGGCAUCCAGAUUGUCUUUUCUUCAGAAUUUUCUUCUUCCUGAUGACCAUCUACUAAUUCUUCUCCCUGUUCGGGGCUCUGGAUGUGUUCUUGGGCGUAACUAUGAUCUCUAACCAUGUUUGAGUUAGACUUU
rnacentral:lncRNA from 1 species